rnacentral:misc_RNA from 1 species
AAGUCGUAACAAGGUUUCCGUAGGUGAACCUGCGGAAGGAUCAUUACUGGGCUACGAGCGUCCGCGCUCACCCCCACCCUGUGCUUCGACCGAAACGCGCUCGGCGCUGUGGCCCCCCUUGGGGGGUCCUGCCGGACUACAACCCUGAACAACUGUGAAGCCUGAAGUUAAAAGCAAACAGUUAAAACUUUCAACAACGGAUCUCUUGGUUCUG